UAACUGAGCUAGCGGCGGACGGGUGAGUAAUGCUUAGGAAUCUGCCUAUUAGUGGGGGACAACAUUCCGAAAGGAAUGCUAAUACCGCAUACGCCCUACGGGGGAAAGCAGGGGAUCUUCGGACCUUGCGCUAAUAGAUGAGCCUAAGUCAGAUUAGCUAGUUGGUGGGGUAAAGGCCUACCAAGGCGACGAUCUGUAGCGGGUCUGAGAGGAUGAUCCGCCACACUGGGACUGAGACACGGCCCAGACUCCUACGGGAGGCAGCAGUGGGGAAUAUUGGACAAUGGGCGCAAGCCUGAUCCAGCCAUGCCGCGUGUGUGAAGAAGGCCUUUUGGUUGUAAAGCACUUUAAGCGAGGAGGAGGCUACUUGGAUUAAUACUCUAGGAUAGUGGACGUUACUCGCAGAAUAAGCACCGGCUAACUCUGUGCCAGCAGCCGCGGUAAUACAGAGGGUGCGAGCGUUAAUCGGAUUUACUGGGCGUAAAGCGUGCGUAGGCGGCUUUUUAAGUCGGAUGUGAAAUCCCUGAGCUUAACUUAGGAAUUGCAUUCGAUACUGGGAAGCUAGAGUAUGGGAGAGGAUGGUAGAAUUCCAGGUGUAGCGGUGAAAUGCGUAGAGAUCUGGAGGAAUACCGAUGGCGAAGGCAGCCAUCUGGCCUAAUACUGACGCUGAGGUACGAAAGCAUGGGGAGCAAACAGGAUUAGAUACCCUGGUAGUCCAUGCCGU
rnacentral:rRNA from 1 species